rnacentral:rRNA from 1 species
UACGGAGGGUGCAAACGUUGCUCGGAAUUAUUGGGCGUAAAGCGCCCGUAGGCGGUUCGUUAUGUCGGAUGUGAAAGCCCUCGGCUUAACCGAGGAAGUGCAUCCGAAACUGGCGAGCUUGAGUACGGAAGAGGGUCUCGGAAUUCCCGGUGUAGAGGUGAAAUUCGUAGAUAUCAGGAGGAACACCGGUGGCGAAGGCGGGUCUCUGGGCCGAUACUGACGCUGAGGAGCGAAAGCGUGGGGAGCGAACAGG